UGCCAGGAAACUGUGAUGUGAUACUUCCAAGCACAUAUCUGACUGCCUUGUGAGGAAACAUGAGUAUUUCUGAGUUUUCUGGAG
ensembl:snoRNA